rnacentral:rRNA from 1 species
AUGACGCAGAUUUUUGAGAUAAGAGAGAAGUGGGCGAAGUCAUAUUUCAAGGGAAUUUUCUGUGUGAAGAUGACAAGUGAUGGAUUCCUUGGCAUGACAAAGGUGUCGGAUAAGCACAUUGUGAGAAGGUGGACCAACGAUGGUCGAGACAUACUGCCAGAGCACUUGCAUCACUACCAGUGCGAUCAGCUUGGUGCCACGCCCCUGACAUCUAUGAAGGCGAUGGCUCCUUUCGACCAGGCGAGGAAUGGGCUGGGACAGGAGGAUCGUGUCAGUGGCAAGAAGCAAGGCAAUGUCGAUGAAAAAGAAACCAAGGCUAGCGAGGAUGAGUAUGUCGUGCUGCCGGGGCAUAGCAAUCCUUUGGUUGGCCUGGGAGCGCCGUCGAAGAAGAAAAGUGCAGGGAGGCCGACAAACGCAAGAGGCCAGGCACCUUACGAAGGAAUGAGUAAGAGUAGAUUCUGUUGCAUCUGCAAAAUUCAAGGCCACAAACGAACAACUUGCCCACAGAGAGGAGACGUUCCCAAAGUUCAGAGGAAAGAAGCAAAACUGCAGCAAGUGUGGUGUCACUGGCCAUCAGAAGAACACCAUGCGACAGGCCAGCGGGAAAAGUUGUUCAGGGAUGCCUGUGAUGUGGCGGGUAAUGGUUUGAAUAGAAGCUGGAGGGGUCACGCGACGGCCAAGCAGACCAGGUGCUACAGGGCUUCGGUCCAUGAGAAAUGGAUGACGGUCGAGACCGUAGUGGACUAA